UUCUUUCGAUUCCGCGUCAUCCUUCUCCCCACCCUCUUUCUCUCUCUCCUAUUAAUUUCCAUCCUCGCCUUUCAAACAUUUGGCAUCUCUGCUGGCCUGCCUGUCUCUCUCUUCCUCUUUCCGCUUCUUGCAGCUAAAGGCGACCACCACAGUAUCUCUGUUAUGCUCCUCUGAAAGUGAGUGCAUCAUGCUGUUGCUCUUUGUUCUUGGUAGAAGCGUGAGGGCUUGUCGUGUCGUGAUUUCUCAUUUUCUGUCGAAUUCAAACCGCAAAUUAAAUUAAUGUAAAUCGUACCAUGCGGUGGCACCAGUGGUAUUUUAAUUCAAAGGCGUGCUCUGUUCUGCCAACAUAGAGCAUUUGGUGAUCGGACACUGGGAAUAGGUUUCUGGAGAUGAUGGAGUCAGCCAAGGGUCGAUCGGAGGUGGAGUUCCCCGGCCGUGCCGUCUCGCCUUGUUGGAAGAAGAAGGCGCCCGACGCCGGCUUCUUGGCCAACGUCAAGGACCACUUCGACCAGUUCGUCAGCACGCCCAUGGAUCAGCAUAGGAUUUGUCUCAAGAAGACGAUCAGAGGGGUAGGUGACCUCGUCAAGCUUAGGAAGCAAAGCAAGGAAGCAAGGCAAGCUAUUGCGUCGUCGGAUUCCGCUUCCAAAGACGGAGACGUGGAUACGUCGAGGUAGGAUGAGAUCUGCAGUGCCUCAGCUGCUGCGACGGAGCAUUCUUGUAAAUGGCAAUUGAUCUGCAGAACACAUUCUGGCAAAAUUCAGUGUGAUCACUCGAUACUAUAGAUAAAAAAAAAAGGCAUCUUCUUCUUCUUCUUCUUCUUCUUCUUCUUCAAGAAUAAAGCACUAACCAUGUUGAUUUAUUGCGCAUCCUGCAAAUUCCAUGGCUUUUAUUGUUUGGCUUGACGAUUUCCAUGAAGAUCUUUUCUUGUGUCUUGCAUACUUCUUCGCUAAGAUGCACUGACAGCGUCCCCUUAUCUAUUCGUAGAGAAAUUUGGAAAAGGGUGGUGUUCUUUUGUUCGGAGAAAAAGAGCGAAGCGAAGUUGACUUCUCGCGUGCGCCAACUCAGUAGGGAACCGUCGAAACUUUACAGCCUGUGUUUGGUGAAUGGAGUUAGAUCAUAGUGCAUCACUGCAUUAGGUUCCUCUUCCUCUUGCUUGGUUCACUUGUCUAAACCUGUAGUGGCAGGCAUAUGUAGUUGCUCAAAAUUCAGUAGAAAGAUUGGAAAAAGCUUCGGAGAUAGAACAAAGGAAGGAUUCUUUUGUUUUCCUAAUGAGUAGCGGGGUAUGAUAUUAGCGUUUUCAUCUUGUUUAGGGGGUGGCAGAGGGUAACGUCAAAUGGGAAGGCACCGAGGGACGAGCCGUCCCGUCCAAGCUUUGAUACGGAGCACGCAUGACUCCGUACUCCGCCCACAGCCCAGUGAGAUGUUUGUUUUGUCUGGGCAAUUCAAGCUGGCUUGUUACUCGCAAGGCAAUCCAAGUAUAGCUAUUUUUGAUAUCACGUUUCAAAUGUAAGCUAGAAAAGCUUGGGAAUUCCAGAUCCCUGCAGCUGGAUUCUGCUGUAUGAUUAGAUUAGAUUAGAUUGUAGGAAUUGGAUUGUAUAAAAUAAUUUGAUCAAUGGGUGAUUUAUUGCUUAAUAAAUUAAGAAUAAAAUU